GAUGAAGAACGUAGCGAAAUGCGAUAAGUAACGUGAAUUGCAGAAUUCAGUGAAUCAUCGAAUCUUUGAACGCACCUUGCACUCCUUGGUAUUCCGAGGAGUACGCCUGUUCGAGUGUUAUGAAGCUCUCAAAACGCAAUUGGCUUAAAACCUGAUUGUUGUUUUGGAUUUGAACUUUGCCGUGUUACAACGGCUGGUUUUAAAAGCAUUAGCUGGUACUAGAACGAAUUGGUUCUACUCAACGUGAUAAUUAUCUGAUCGUUGAGGACAUUCCUUUCACGAGGAAUGGCCAUAGUAAAUUCAAUGGACUGCUUCUAACUUGGCUUUAAUUCUUAAUUGGAUUAACCACUUUUCAAAUCUGACCUCGAAUCAGGUGGGACUACCCGCUGAACUUAAGCAUAUCAAUAAGCGGAGGA
rnacentral:misc_RNA from 1 species